CCUACGGGGGCAGCAGUGGGGAAUAUUGGACAAUGGGCGAAAGCCUGAUCCAGCCAUGCCGCGUGUGUGAAGAAGGCCUUCGGGUUGUAAAGCACUUUCAGUGGGGAAGAAAGCCUUGGGGCUAAUACCCUCGAGGAAGGACAUCACCCACAGAAGAAGCACCGGCUAACUCCGUGCCAGCAGCCGCGGUAAUACGGAGGGUGCGAGCGUUAAUCGGAAUUACUGGGCGUAAAGCGCGCGUAGGCGGUCUGAUAAGCCGGUUGUGAAAGCCCCGGGCUCAACCUGGGAACGGCAUCCGGAACUGUCAGGCUAGAGUGCAGGAGAGGAAGGUAGAAUUCCCGGUGUAGCGGUGAAAUGCGUAGAGAUCGGGAGGAAUACCAGUGGCGAAGGCGGCCUUCUGGACUGACACUGACGCUGAGGUGCGAAAGCGUGGGUAGCAAACAGGAUUAGAUACCCCGGUAGUC
rnacentral:rRNA from 1 species